rnacentral:rRNA from 1 species
GCGAGAGUAGUACUAGGAUGGGUGACCUCCUGGGAAGUCCUCGUGUUGCACCUC